AGGAUUUGCUGAAUUGCAGAGGAGAUUUGUAAACACACAUACCUUUAAUAUUUGAAAAGACUAUUGCACAUGUUGCACUGAAGAGGAUUGAUGAUUAAAAGAUUCGACUACAGCAAAGUUCAAUGAGGCUCAUCAUAUUGUGAUGCCAAUAUUGCGCACUGGAGUAGGAAGAUCAAAAUGUUUGUUGCGAAUGGACAUAAGGAAAUAGCAUGCCUUCAAAUUGACCAACAUUUCUGAAGUGAAGGAUGACAACUUAUAGCCUCUAUUCAUGGAGAUUGCAUAGUCAUGUUUGAACCUAAAGAACAGAUAUACCAAAUCUGAAUGACAGAUAAAAUAAUAAGACAUGAUAAAUAUUAGAAGACUCUGAACAAUCUGAAUACUGUAAAUUUUUUAAAAACAUUUGAAUGUUGAGAUUGGUUGAGUAUCUCGAUGAUAAGAACUUGCAUUCUGAAAUCAGAAUUUGGAUGAGCUUUUCCUGUACUAGCAUACAUUAAUCUCUAAUUUUGGUCAGUUAUUUUUUAAAACAUUAUAAUAAAUGAAUGCAAUAAUUUG